GGGGGCUGUUGGAGUGGACGGUCGUCAUGCUGCCGUCAUGGCCGGUGUUCAUCGCUUGCAGCAUGUCCAGUGUUUCGCCGCUGCGGCACUCGCC
rnacentral:tRNA from 1 species